rnacentral:lncRNA from 1 species
AAAGAAAGCAUCGGAAACCUGCUCAAAAGAGUCAAACGAAAACAUCAAUAACCAAGAAUAAGCACAUCUGCUUAAUAUCCUGUCUUUAUAACAGUGGCCAUGGCAGCAUCCAAAAUCAGACAGGACACAUCCCACUCGGCCAAUCGAAGGGUUAAUUCCUAUAGCCCAUAGAAAGAGACUGCACAACCACAUCUUCCAGCCUCACACACCUGGAAAACAUUCUCUCAACCUGACUCCAGCACAGCCGUCUUUGACCAAAAUCCAUGCACCCCCUGGUGUUCCGGAGGUAAACUACAGUUUACAAUAGGAGAAUGGGAAGGUUUUUCUAGUUUUGUAUUUCGUGUCUCUUCUAGUCAACAUCCACACGGAACUUUUCCUUGGAACAGCUUUGCAGAAACAGCCUCCUCAGACCGUAUUGAGACAAUUUUAAAGAGACAGGGUCUCCUGUGUCCCAGGGUGACGUCAUCUCUAACUCUCUAUGAAGCCAAGGAUGACUUUGAACUUCUGAUCUUCCUGCCUCCACUCCCAGGUGCUGGGAUUACUACACCACUCUGCCUGCUUUAUAUGGUACUGAUAAUCAAAUCUAGGAUUCAUACAUGCUGAGCUAUCAACUGAACUACAUCCCAACCCUACCUCCAUUUAUAAAACGUGCAGUUCAUCUAGUAC